rnacentral:rRNA from 1 species
GUGCCAGCCGCCGCGGUAAUACGGGCAGCCCGAGUGAUGGCCACUCUUAUUGGGCCUAAAGCGUCCGUAGCCGGCCUCGCAAGUCCGUCGGGAAAUCCAGUAGCUCAACUACUGGGCGUCCGGCGGAAACUACAAGGCUUGGGACCGGAAGGCUCGAGGGGUACGUCCGGGGUAGGAGUGAAAUCCCGUAAUCCCGCACGGACCACCGAUGGCGAAAGCACCUCGAGAAAACGGAUCUGACAGUGAGGGACGAAAGCCAGGGUCUCCAACCGGAUUAGAAACCCCGGUAGUCC